rnacentral:rRNA from 1 species
UACGUAGGGGGCAAGCGUUAUCCGGAUUUACUGGGUGUAAAGGGAGCGUAGACGGCCAGACAAGUCUGAAGUGAAAAUCCAGCGCUUAACGUUGGAAGUGCUUUGGAAACUGCCGGGCUGGAGCGCAGGAGGGGCAGGCGGAACUCCUAGUGUAGCGGUGAAAUGCGUAGAUAUUAGGAGGAACACCAGUGGCGAAGGCGGCCUGCUGGACUGCAACUGACGUUGAGGCUCGAAGGCGUGGGGAGCAAACAGG